UCAAAAACGCCAUUUGGCAUGAGAACUUUACAUGUUUUUUCAGAAAUGGUGGAAGUAUGUAACUUACACGAGGAUAGUCGAGGAAGUUCGGUAGUGUACGAAGAACUGAAUUCUGAAAAUCGUAAUACGGGAUGGAGAAAUCAAUGAGGUGCAAUCGCCUGUUUCCCAUCAAAGCAUCAUUGAUAACUUUUUCUAUGACGCCAUUAAUAUGGUAGCUGUUAUAAUGAUAAUAUGGUGCAGGAUUCGCCGGGAAAGCGAGGAAGGAAGAAGCGGGAUGCAGUCCGUAGGCUCGGCG
rnacentral:lncRNA from 1 species